rnacentral:rRNA from 1 species
UACGUAGGGGUGCAAGCGUUUAAUCGGAAUUACUGGGCGUAAAGCGUGCGCAGGCGGCUUUGCAAGACAGAUGUGAAAUCCUGGAGCUCAACUCCAGAACUGCCUUCGAUACUGGCGAUCUCGAGUCCGGAAGAGGUGAGUGGAACUCCUAGUGUAGAGGUGGAAUUCGUAGAUAUUAGGAAGAACACCAGUGGCGAAGGCGGCUCACUGGUCCGGUACUGACGCUGAGGUGCGAAAGCGUGGGGGAGCAAACAGG